UUAUAAUAAAUCAUCAAAUUACGUAUAACAGCUUUGAUAAGGAAAGCGAGUCUCUACCCUAAACCGUAAAUUUAGGACUACGUGCAAACCAAAAAAACCA
rnacentral:ncRNA from 2 species